GCAAACUUGGUCAUUUAGAGGAAGUACAAGUCGUAACAAGGUAUCCGUAGGUGAACCUGCGGAUGGAUCAUUAGGAUAUUUUAUGGUUGUAAAGUGAAGUGGAUUUGAUGGAUGGCAAUAUCAAUAUUGAUUGGAUGGUUGCCAACGGCCUAACUAAACUUGUUUCAAUAUCAAUAUGAUUGGAUGGUUGCCAACGGCCCAACUAAACUUGUUUCAAACUGAACUGCCAACACAAAAGCACACAACUUUUAGCAACGGAUCUCUUGGCUCUCGCAUCGAUGAAGAACGCAGC
rnacentral:misc_RNA from 1 species